rnacentral:rRNA from 1 species
AUUGAACGCUGGCGGCAUGCUUUACACAUGCAAGUCGAACGGUAACAGGUUAAGCUGACGAGUGGCGAACGGGUGAGUAAUGCAUCGGAACGUGCCCGAUCGUGGGGGAUAACGCAGCGAAAGCUGCGCUAAUACCGCAUACGAUCUGAGGAUGAAAGCGGGGGACCGUAAGGCCUCGCGCGAUCGGAGCGGCCGAUGUCAGAUUAGGUAGUUGGUGGGGUAAAGGCCCACCAAGCCGACGAUCUGUAGCUGGUCUGAGAGGACGACCAGCCACACUGGGACUGAGACACGGCCCAGACUCCUACGGGAGGCAGCAGUGGGGAAUUUUGGACAAUGGGCGAAAGCCUGAUCCAGCCAUGCCGCGUGUGUGAAGAAGGCCUUCGGGUUGUAAAGCACUUUCAGUAGGGAGGUAGGGUGUUGUGUUAAUAGCACAGCAUUUUGACGUUACCUACAGAAGAAGCACCGGCUAACUCUGUGCCAGCCGCCGCGGUAAUAC